ACGCUCGACACCUACCGGAGGCAGCAGUGGGGAAUAUUGCACAAUGGGGGAAACCCUGAUGCAGCGACGCCGCGUGAAGGAAGAAGUAUCUCGGUAUGUAAACUUCUAUCAGCAGGGAAGAAAAUGACGGUACCUGACUAAGAAGCCCCGGCUAACUACGUGCCAGCAGCCGCGGUAAUCUGAGCGGGCUGGCAAGGC
rnacentral:rRNA from 1 species